AUACCUUUCUCGGCCUUUUGGCUAAGAUCAAGUGUAGUAUCUGUUCUAAUUAGUUUAAUCGCUAAUUUCUAACUCAUUGAGUUAGAUGUGAUUAACCUUAUUUUUCGGGGCGGAUGACCAAUGGGCAGUUCACUGCUCGGUCAUCCAGAGUGCGCAUGGUUUUGCACUACCUCCUUGCAGCGCUCAGCCCAC
rfam:Klebsormidium nitens DNA, contig: KFL_663.